rnacentral:lncRNA from 1 species
UACCAGGAAGGAGAAAGCAUAUGAGCAUCUUUCUGGGAACCAAGUAAUAAAGCUUUUUGGAGAUGCCUUUUUCUAGAUUCUGCCACUGACCACCUAGAACAGGGUCUGGCCUAGGGCUCAUGAUAGCCUGACCAGAUGUAACCUGUCCCUUGACUCUAUAGAGAGAACAUCAGAUCCUGAAAUGGCUUUACUGUCUUAUUGUUGGCAAUAGAAUGAUCCCACUAAACCAUGGAUACAAACCUCCCUGGUGCUGGUAAUAUCAGCAAAGCCAACAACUGUGUCUGUUUCCACAAGAAGCAACAACUAACCUCUGAAGAUAGAUUCUUUAGAGAUAAGGCCUUCCCGCUGGUCUUCAGAAAGAAGGGGUCAGUUACUCUUAACUUCUGUAGCUGGAGUUUGAUCUCAUUGGAGUUGUGUGGGUGCUUGGGUGAAGAUCCUGGGAUGGGGUGAGCAGAGAUUCUCAGGAAUAGUGCUGCACCAUAAUCUCAGCCAGCAACAAGUUCCUUCUCCACCUAUCACAUGAAUCAAUGCAGGUCAGGGGCUGGCCUAGACUGGAGGUAUUCCUUCUAGGAUAGCCAACCCUCCUCCCAUAUCCACCUGUCAGGGCCCAACUCUGGACAAUUUUCUUCGGAUACUCUGGAUGUCAGAUGGGUUUCCUCAGAAGACCUAGGUCCCAUGGAAUGAAUCCUUCCUGACUGAAGGUGCUUGGAGGAUAAGAUCUCGUCCAGGUCAUCCCACUCCCUCCAUCUUAGAGCAGCCUGGGCAGCAGUCCUAAGAGGCAAGUGUUUGCCUUUUCAUCCAUUUCACACCUAAUGCCUUUUGAUGAACCAAGUCUGCUUUUACUUCACGGUCCCUGCUUGUCCCUUGACUUCAGAGUUCCUGCAGCCCUGAGCCAUAUCAGAACCUUCCUGGAGCCUCCACCUUUAGAACCUGCCUUAGCCUGGAAGAUGCCUGCAUUUACUACAGGUUCUGUGGGUAAUGUUUCUCCACUGGUGUGUUGGGAGCCUGGAUCCCAGGAUGUACUCAUAGUGGUCUCUCUGGUCAGUGGUUGUCACCGCUAAGGCACCUUUACCUUUCCUGUCAUUCAAGAAACCCUUGGCAUUCUCUUCACAUCAGGACAAGAGCACAAAAACAUAAUAUAUAUUUUGAAAGUGGGAGAAAAAGAGAGAGCCUCCUCUACUUCUUUCUUCCCCAACAUAUCUUCCACAGCUUCUAGUCUAAUCCCAGUGGAGUGUCAUAGUCCUUGGUCUGGCUCUGCCCACUUCAGGUUCUGCAGAAUUUCCAAGUUCAGCCCCUUGAAGAUUGUGGCCCCUGCUCUCUACUAGUAUAGAGAAGGAAGACUGGGGUAUGGUAAUGCAUGCCUAUAAUCCCAGCAAUCUGGGAGACUGAGACAGAAGGAUUGCAAGUUUGAACACAGGCUGGGAAAAUCAGUGGCUUAGCAAGACACAGUCUCAAAAUAAAUAACAAAAAAAGCCAGGGAUGUAGCUCAGAGCAAAGGCAAGGAAAUGCCUGGAGCUCUGGGGCUGGCUGUUGUAUAUGUGAUCUUGGAUAGGCUUUUUUCCUUCUCUGGAAUCUGUUUCCUUGGUGGUGAAAUGGCCCGAGUGAUACUCACAGGGUUAUUUGGAAAAUUUAAUGCGAUAGUAUAUGAGUACAGAGCUGAAUUGAAAAUCUAAGAGGUGAGUUACUCUAGGAUAGGGGGAGUAGAAUAACCUGGACCAGGUCUAUUGUGUGGGGAGGGGGAAGGAGGUGAAGGGG